rnacentral:rRNA from 1 species
UCAGAAACUGUUGAACUNGAGUGCAGAAGAGGAGAGUGGAACUCCAUGUGUAGCGGUGGAAUGCGUAGAUAUAUGGAAGAACACCAGUGGCGAAGGCGGCUCUCUGGUCUGCAACUGACGCUGAGGCUCGAAGGCAUGGGUAGCGAACAGGAUUAGAUACCCUGGUAGUCCAUGCCGUAACGAUGAGUGCUAAGUGUUGGGAGGUUUCCGCCUCUCAGUGCUGCAGCUAACGCAUUAAGCACUCCGCCUGGGGAGUACGACCGCAAGGUUGAAACUCAAAGGAAUUGACGGGGGCCCGCACAAGCGGUGGAGCAUGUGGUUUAAUUCGAAGCAACGCGAAGAACCUUACCAGGUCUUGACAUCCAGUGCAAACCUAAGAGAUUAGGAGUUCCCUUCGGGGACGCUGAGACGGGUGGUGCAUGGCUGUCGUCAGCUCGUGUCGUGAGAUGUUGGGUUAAGUCCCGCAACGAGCGCAACCCUUGUCAUUAGUUGCCAUCAUUAAGUUGGGCACUCUAAUGAGACUGCCGGUGACAAACCGGAGGAAGGUGGGGAUGACGUCAAGUCAUCAUGCCCCUUAUGACCUGGGCUACACACGUGCUACAAUGGACGGUACAACGAGAAGCGAACCUGCGAAGGCAAGCGGAUCUCUGAAAGCCGUUCUCAGUUCGGACUGUAGGCUGCAACUCGCCUACACGAAGCUGGAAUCGCUAGUAAUCGCGGAUCAGCACGCCGCGGUGAAUACGUUCCCGGGCCUUGUACACACCGCCCGUCACACCAUGAGAGUCUGUAACACCCAAAGCCGGUGGGAUAA